UCUCUGUUAGUAUAUCGGUUAGUACACGCGCCUGUCACUUGUACGACCGCGCGAAAGCGGGGUUCGACUCCCCGACAGAGAG
rnacentral:tRNA from 1 species